AGUCUCAGUAGAGUUGUAUCCUGCUCAGACGACGCUGCGGCGUAGCUUAACACAUGCAAGUCGACGAAAGGCCCUGCUUGCAGGGUACUCGAGUGGCGAACGGGUGAGUAACACGUGGGUGAUCUGCCCUGCACUUCGGGAUAAGCUUGGGAAACUGGGUCUAAUACCGGAUAGGAGCCAUCUUUAGUGUGGUGGUUGGAAAGUUUUUUCGGUGUAGGAUGAGCUCGCGGCCUAUCAGCUUGUUGGUGGGGUAAUGGCCUACCAAGGCGGCGACGGGUAGCCGGCCUGAGAGGGUGUACGGCCACAUUGGGACUGAGAUACGGCCCAGACUCCUACGGGAGGCAGCAGUGGGGAAUAUUGCACAAUGGGCGCAAGCCUGAUGCAGCGACGCCGCGUGGGGGGUGAAGGCCUUCGGGUUGUAAACUCCUUUCGCUAGGGACGAAGCUUUUUUGUGACGGUACCUAGAUAAGAAGCACCGGCUAACUACGUG
rnacentral:rRNA from 1 species